ensembl:snRNA U6 U6 spliceosomal RNA
AAAAAAGUGUUUUUUUCUGUGCUCACUUAACGAUACAGAGAAGAUUUGGAUGACCCCUGCACACGGAUGACAUAAAAAUUGGUGAAGCAUUCCAAUUAUGA